rnacentral:rRNA from 1 species
UACGUAGGUGGCAAGCGUUGUCCGGAAUUACUGGGUGUAAAGGGAGCGUAGGCGGGGAUGCAAGUCAAGUGUUAAAUCCAUCGGCUCAACUGAUGGCUGCGCUUGAAACUGCAACUCUUGAGUGAAGUAGAGGUUGGCGGAAUUCCUAGUGUAGCGGUGAAAUGCGUAGAUAUUAGGAGGAACACCAGUGGCGAAGGCGGCCAACUGGGCUUUUACUGACGCUGAGGCUCGAAAGUAUGGGGAGCAAACAGG